GUGCUUGUUUUGGCAGAACAUAUAGUAAAAUUGGAACAAUAUAGAGAAGAUGAGCAGGGUCCCUAGGCAAGCAUGCUAUACAAAUUCAUGAAGUAUUCUCGAUUAAA
ensembl:snRNA U6 U6 spliceosomal RNA